GACGAACGCUGGCGGCGUGCUUAACACAUGCAAGUCGAACGGAAAGGCCCUGCUUUUGUGGGGUGCUCGAGAGGCGAACGGGUGAGUAUCACGUGAGUAACCUGCCCCUGACUUUGGGAUAACUUCAGGAAACUGGGGCUAAUACAGGAUAGGAGCUCUUGCUGCACGGUGGUGGAUGGAAAGUGUCGGCGGUUGGGGAUGGACUCGCGGCUUAUGAGCUUCUUGGUGGGGUAGUUGCUUACCAAGGCUUCGACGGGUAGCCGGCCUGAGAGGGGUACCGGCCACAUGGGUACUGAGGUACGGCGCAGAAUCCUACGGGAGGCAGCAGUGGAGAGUAUUGCGCAAUGGGCGGAAGCCUGAUGCAGCAACGCCGCGUGCGGGAUGACGGCCUUCGGGUUGUAAACCGCUUUCGCCUGUGACAAAGCGUGAGUGACGGUAAUGGGUAAAGAAGCACCGGCUAACUACGUG
rnacentral:rRNA from 1 species